rnacentral:lncRNA from 1 species
GGUGGGUUUACAGCGGGGCCGGGAGGGGGCGACCCUGAGCCCCUCUCCUCCCCGGAGAGUGCGGGAGGGGCGCGUUCGAAAGGAUGCGGAGUGCGCACGGGCUGGUGCAUGGAGCUGAGGUCGCCGGUAGCGCUCCAGGGACCCCAGCUGCCUUCUUAAGGCCUGGCAGCUGGAUCCGGGCGCCGCCUGAUCGCCUUUGCGGUCCCUCCUUUGCGCCUCCCAGAGAAGCGGUUCUUGGAAAGUGCUGGAAGCUGGCUGCUGAGUCAGGGGCUUAGGGCCGCAUGGCCUUCAGGGAAUACACUGCGCCCCCCCCGCCCCCCCCCCGCUGCGGUAGUUCCCCGCAUUUAUUGAUGAAAAAAUAAACAAAGCCCCUUCUUUCGUGGGAGCGAUUGGGUCGGUGGUGGCAAGGAUAUGAAGCGACGUGAAAAUAGUGCUUCCCUGGGAGGCUGAUGUGAGCGCGAAAUGAGCUCCUACACGUGGAAAGAACGAGAACAGCGUCUGGCACAGCAGUCAGCUCAGUGAAGAUGAACUCUGCCCGGAAGUUUCCCUUCCCCGGCCUCUGUCUUCACCUCCUUGGUCCUCACCUGCGGGAUCCCUCAGCGCAGGGGCCAGAAAUCCGAGAUCAAGGGGUCAGCAGAGCUGGUUCCUUCCCGGGCUGCAGGAAAGAGUCCGUUCUGGGCGUCUCUCUCAGCUGCUGGUGGUUUGCUGGCCAUCUUUGGCGUUCCUUGGCUCCUAAAUGCAUCACCUCGAUCUCUGCCUUCAUCUUCACACAGCACUCUCCCAGCACACACGAAUGAAUGCUGUCUGGAAGGGGGACCACUCUCUGCCCCCGUCUGCGUCUGUUCCGGCUGCUGAAACAAAACCCCACAGAUUGGGUGCCUGUAAACAACAGAAAUUCAUGGCUCACAGUCCGGGAGGCUGGGAGUCCAAGAUGGAGGUGCCAGCGUGGUCGGAUUUUCCACACACAGGCCAAGCAGGGCGCCGUGCUGCACCCCACCUGCGUCUUCGCCAGCAGCCCCAAGGUGCUGCACACUAGGGAGCCAGAGGCCAGGGGCGGCGAAGGGAGCCGAGCCAAAGCUGCAACGUACCUUCCUGCACAGAUCUUUGCAUGGCCAUAAGCUUCCCUUCCUCCUGGGUAAACACCUGGGUGUGGAACGACUGGAUCAUAGGCGUCCCAAAGACAAGAACGAUGCCCGUAAAGAUGGGGAUGUGACUUCCCCCCAUAUCGGCGUUUCUUUAAUCACAAGCG